rnacentral:rRNA from 1 species
AGUAAUGCUUGGGAAUCUAGCUUAUGGGAGGGGGUAACUACGGGAAACUGUAGCUAAUACCGCGUAGUAUCGAGAGAUGAAAGUGUGGGACCUUCGGGCCACAUGCCAUAGGAUGAGCCCAAGUGGGAUUAGGUAGUUGGUGAGGUAAAGGCUCACCAAGCCGACGAUCUCUAGCUGGUCUGAGAGGAUGACCAGCCACACUGGGACUGAGACACGGCCCAG